GGUGUGUGCACCAUGUGUGUGCCUGGUACCCGUGGAGGUUGGAAGAAGGAUUUGGAUUCUCUGGGAUUGGAGAUAUAGCCAGUUGUGAGCUACCAUGCGGGUACUGGGAACUGAACCUGGGUCCUCUGGAAGAGCAUCCAGUGCUCUUAAUCACUGAACCAUCUCUCCAGCCCUGAGCCAUGGGCCACCCAAGAUUGCCUCCAUGCAUAGGCAGAUUAUGGCUGUUGACACAAGGCACCCCAAGGACGUUGUGUGUGGAAAGCUAUGACUCAGCUCCCUAAUAUACAGGGCUGUGAUAGAGACAAGACAAUAUUACCAUGAAGGCCUCAGCCUAAAGCCAG
ensembl:lncRNA